AGUACGCAAGCAUCCAGUGAAAUUCUGGAGAUGAUACACACUUCAGAAGAUCUCUGGUCCCCUGAGCUCAUGGUAAACAGUGAAGCAUGCUAGACUUUCCUCAAUUGGGUAGCUUUUCUCUGUGAUAAACACAUCUCUCUCUCUUUCUUCCUGUCCCCAUGUAUCCAAUCCUCUGAAGAGCAAUUUCUUCUUUUGGCUAAGGCAUAUAGUUUUUGUUCCUAGCAGUUCACCCAAUACUCUUUGGGCAAGAAAAUAUGCCCCAAAAGACUAUCCUUGCCACUCCAAAGUUCCCAUAAAAAGUGAUUUGCUAGCCUUCCAGCCAGAAAAAAUGCACAGUGUAUCCAGAUAGGCUAUCAAGGCUGCUUGCUGAUAGAGUCAAGUCUGCUCAUUCUUAGGAUGACAAGAAGGUGACAGAGUUGCUACUAUAGAAGGCAUGCGUGGGCAUACUGAAUUUGUGGAGAGAGAAGUGAUGGCUGCUGUAGCUGACAGAAAAUCUCACUGUUAUGGGAAAUGUCUAGAGACAGAGCUUCACUCUCCUGAGCUAAAAUCCUAUCCCCUCUGAUACACCAUCUCCAAUUUGUCACAUGAUUAACAAUUAGUUGGGGAAAAGAGAAAUGCCAACUUUUCACACAUGGCUUUAGUUUACCACCAGUUUUUGACCAGAAUUGAUGUCCAAGUCAUUUGCAUUUCCUUCUUCAAAAUUGAGUUGGGCAGUUCCAAAGAGAGGAAAGUAUCAGGCCAGACCAGAAGGAGGCAGAUGGUACAGCCUCUGUUUAGAGCCACAGAGACAGAGCACGUCAUAAAGAUGUGGCAACUGCAGCUAUGUAGCUCAUACAGAGGCCAAAGGAAAAAAAAGACGAUUAAAAACAACAACAAAAAGGAGGUGAUCACAAGUUUCUGAACAUUUGGAUAGGUCAGGAUCUGUGACAAAGAUAAUAAAAUCUGUUGAGUGAAUGUUCUGUGAGUAUCCAAUGAAAAAAGGAAUGAGGAUAGGGAAUCUGAAAACUUAAACAAUAUAUCUGAGCAUAGAAAGUGAGAAUGACAAAAAUGAGCUAUUAAAAAGAAAUCUGGGCAAACUAGGAAAGGUCGAGUCAGGCACACAACAGCAGAACCACAGAAAGCCAGACAGCUUGAAGUUACCUGUCCCACAAAUUAAUGACCAACCCAUUUGAACAAUGUUGUAUUGACAGCUUGAGUUUAUACUGAUUCAGCCGCUAGAUCACGAUGUUUUUGUUUUGGUACUAGAUGUCCUGAAGUUUGAACUACUGUUUUGUAAGCUACGGACCACGGGAUGUGCUAAUGGUGUGCUUCCCACUUGCUCAAAUUGUUUCAGAUCACUUGUGUCAGUAGACAAUUCUAAGGCUCUUUGAGAAAGUGAUUACAGAAAUUUGAUGCAUACUUGAAUAAUAAUAAAGCAAAAAAGUACUGAAGACUAAGCCACCCGCUUAAACUUCAGCAACAUCUAAACUUACAGACUUACAGCAAUUACUUAUUUCAGACCAGUUAUGCAACUAUUUCUCAAGUGGCCUAAUUUGUAAUAAAACUCAGGACCAGCAGUUCCUAUUUAUUUCAAUACAAGUUGUGUAAUUCAACAAGAUUUGAAUAGCUGUGUUAAAAAAUGGUUAAUGCUAGCUGCUCCACUUUUCAGUUUCCACUGGAAGUUCAUAUUAAGCAAAGAUGUCCCUAGCUAUUUGUUUCUAUGGCGCUUUUUCUCCUCAGCAUUUAGUUCUUGCUGUAUUUGUCAGGAAAACAGGGAAAAAAAACACCAAAUACAUUUUGUAUGCUCAGGCCAUGGUCUCUAGUUCCCUUUUCACCCAGCUAACAGGGCUUAUCUUUUUCCACCACCUAUUUAUGUUGCUUUCAUUAACUUCUGUAUAUUCUCCAUGCUCAUUAGUGUUCUCUUGUUCUUCUUCAACUAAAGUAAGAACACAUUACCUCAGUCAGCAGUUGAAUAAACACAUCCAGCUUGGUGGUUCCCAAAUCCAUCUUGCUCACUACCCACUGCCGUCACUGUAGGUAGCAGUAGUAGAAGUUGCUGUACCAACAGCUUUCAGUAUCAGCCAGGACAAUCUGCUUGGCUACUCAGGAAUUAUCUACACACAGCUUUGCUUCAACACAUGUUAGAAUUUGGGAAUCUCAGUCUCAGCCCAAGGUGGAUACCAGAGCAUCUCUCCUUUUCCGAGAGCCUAUAAAAGCUGAAUCCUGAUUGCAGCAUUUCUUAGAUGCAGGAUUCCCAGCUGUCACCUAUGAGAGGAAAGAAAACAAUCUUAAGUGACUUUGAAUAUACGUGCAUAAAUACUGAUUGAAUUCAUUUGAGGUUCUCAUAGAAACUUACUAAUCUACAUGAUACAAGUAACUCGAUCAUAUACGUUUUCAUUAACUUAAAGAAUAAUGGUAAGCAGUAGCCCUCACUUUACACAUUUCCUUUCGAAAUCUACCGUGCAUUUAACUUAUAAUGCAGUGAAGAAAAAUAGUUUUUCACUGAUGCAGUGCUUUCAGAAUAUUCCUACAUUUCUUGCAAGCUUUGAGGAAAGAACCUGUAAAAACUGCUGUAAGUUUUGACAGUAAGCGUAAAACAAAGUAUGAAAAAAGCCAGCAUUUCUACUGCUUUACAAGAACCAUACUUCACAUUAUUUUAAAACUAAUUUAGCAAAGAUCUACUUUGUGAUAUACUGUGUUCUUAUACAACAAGAAAAAUCUUUUUUUUCCUUGUAUUGUGUGUCAUAGUAAACCCAUGCCAAAAUUGUUACCAUUCUGCUAUAGAAUUCUAAUAGCGACUCACCUUCUUUUUCAGAUAGUUGGUUUCUACUGAGCUUUGUUAUCCCACAUAUGUUCUUCUGCUGGAGCCUUUCAUGUCAGAAAACCUUUGAAGAGUGGGAGUAGCUCUUUAAAUUUAUCUGGAAGCAGUGGGGUUUCUUUUACAAUUGGCUGUUGCUGCUCACGUCGUUUUAUUUCAAGGUAGUAAAUGCUAUGAAUGUCAGAUUUUCAUGAAAAGAGACGUACCAUAUACUCUACCGAAGACCAUAUUUUUUCUGUCGAGAUCAUCUCCUCCUUGUGAAUCAGAACGGGAAAGCAAAGAAGCUCUUGGAAGCUCAAGGAAGAACAUCUUGCCCUUAGUUUCUUGAAAAGAAGCUGCUUCCAAGGAUGAAACCCUCUGAUUUAGAAGGGAAAUUCAGAAGGAUUUUUAAUAGUGAAGAAAACAGGAAGGGAUGACAUGGGAGGUAAUUGAUAUCACACAUUGAUCAAGGAACAUCUGAAACUGUAGAAAGGCUAACAGAAGUAUUUGGCUAAAUCUAAGAUAGUCCAAAAGAUGACUACACUGUAAAGUCAGUCCAUCGUACUACUAAUGUAACGAAUCCUGUGUCACAGAGCUGUUUUUCCCAUUCUAAUAUGCAUUAAAUACAAAAUCCAUUGAUCAGUACUGUUAGUAGUGACUCCUGCUUGACUGACAAGUAACACUGUGUUACUGGAGCGCCUCUUCCAUACAACCUUUUAAGUCAAAUGUUCUCUAGUUAUGGAUGUUCAGUUCUUGGUGUACAACAGGUUCUAGCUGACUUCCACUGAAUUCAUCAUCUACCAGUAAUUCUGCUCUUUAAAAAUAAAUCAGAUUCUUUCCUUUCCACAUACCCAAUCUUUGCAUUACUAUUUCACUCGUACACAUUCCCUCCAUGCUCUGUUGGCAGAUGGACUUCGUCUUUUUCACUGAAUAUUGACAAAGGGCUGAAUUUCCUCACAAGACUGGUAAUGAGUACAGUAUGUGAAGUAAAUGCAAUAAAAUACCAAGUUUUAUAAAAGCACAUGUAGUCUGGCAAGUGCUGGUUUCUCUUCAGCGCCUGUUUCCUAUCAUGAAUUUUGACUGUGUGAGCCAGAAAUGCACGCAGAUCUUCCUGCCUCUUCUGAAGUUUAUACACUGGGACUGAAUGAAUGCCCAUUUCUUCAUAUUGUUCAUCCAGUAAUCCACCUUCAGCAAUAAACUAACGUACAGGUAUGAGUUGCUGGUGACAAAACUAUAAAGUUGCAGAAUAUAGCUAGUUGGUGUAGAACCAAAUAAAACGGCAGUGUCCUUUUCACUGAAUGCAAACUCUGGGUUUUCACCCUUGUUAAAAAAUGGAUUUGUAGUAAAACAAAAAAUUCUUGCCCCCUCUCCUCCCCUAAAAGAAGAAAACCACCACAAAUAUUGACUUUGAGCGAAAGAAAUAACUGGUAUCAGUAAUAAUAUUGUCAGGGGCUGAGACAGCUUCUUAUGAAGGAAGUUCAUGCUUAGUUCUGACAAUUGAGCAAAAAAUUAAUCAAUCAGUUUGCAUUCAUAGGGCUCCAUUUCAAUUCUUUCUCGAAUGAUUUGCUUUAUAAAAAUUGAAACAACUGACUUUGCUUGUUAAGCAAAACAUCAAAUAAUGCAGAUUUGGCAUUUGUUUCUCAGCAUUAACGCAAUCUUACAUUUUUCUGUCCUCAGGUAUGAAACUUAAAUCACAGCCCCCGACGCUUCCUGUUGGUACUGCUAUAUCCACUGCAGGGUUUUUGUGGAAUUCCAGUUUGUUAUUUCAAUAUUUUUCUUUUGCCCAUUUCCUUUGAAACCAUCUUUGCAAACGGAAACCAUAAGUAUACUUCGGCAGGAGCUCCUUACUUUAACAACAGAACAAAAAAAGCCACCUGAAUCAGAAACAGUUUUCUGACACAAGGGAAAUGCAGAGGGAAGAGGUUGCAACCUCUUUCCAUUCUGUACUUUGCUGCUCUUUCCGUCAGCUCUAAGAGCCUGCUAUCAACUGUUCCACCUACCUUACUAAGAUAUUGCUUAAACACUGUUCUUGGGUGUCUUCAUUUUCUUACAUCUGCUGCUUUCCUUGUAACUGUUGCACAAGGGAGUCUGUAUAUUGUUAUCUGAAGUGUGUAUCUGAAAUAAGUCUGCUAUUUCCUCCCGAUUGUGGCAAUUAAGCUGUUAGCCGAUCGUCUGGAGGGGAAAGUAUGUUCCCCUGGGGCUGCAAGGACACAGGAGAUGUACAUUACAUUACCACAAUUCUAAAGAUAUGAAAUAGCACACAGGAUUGUGCAGUAAAAGGAACAAAUUAACAAGAACACGCUUUGAAAUACUACACUCAAUAUAGAAUCAUAGAAUCACAGAAUGGCCUGAGUUGAAAAGGACCACAAUGAUCAUCGAGUUUCAACUCCCCUGCUAUGUGCAGGGCCGCCAACCACCAGACCAGGCUGCCCAGAGCCACAUCCAGCCCGGCCAUGAAUGCCUACAGGCUUGGG
ensembl:lncRNA